GAUAAAAGGUACCCCGGGGAUAACAGUCUGAUCAUUCCCAAGAGUCCAUAUCGACGGGAUGGUUUGGCACCUCGAUGUCGGCUCGUCGCAUCCUGGGGCUGGAGCAGGUCCCAAGGGUUCGGCUGUUCGCCGAUUAAAGCGGCACGCGAGCUGGGUUCAGAACGUCGUGAGACAGUUUGGUCUCUAUCCUCUGCGCUCGUUGGAAUGCUGAGGAGGCCUGCCCAUAGUACGAGAGGACCUGGGUGGACGAACCUCUGGUAUGCCGGUUGUCACGCCAGUGGCACGGCCGGUUGGCUACGUUCGGAAGGGAUAACCGCUGAAAGCAUCUAAGCGGGAAGCCUGCUCCAAGAUAAGCAUUCCGUGGAACCUUCGAGUUCCUGUAGUCCCCAUGCAGAACACGUGGUCGAUAGGCCGGACGUGGAAGCCCCGCGAGGGGUGGAGCCGACCGGUACUAACGGACGAAAGGCA
rnacentral:rRNA from 1 species